rnacentral:tRNA from 1 species
GCUCUCAUAGUUUAAUGGAUAGAAUUCAUCCUUGCGGAGGAUGUGGUGUAGGUUCGAUUCCUACUGAGAGCA